GACGAGGCACACGAACGUUAUUCGGAAUUACUGGGCUUAAAGGGUGCGUAGGCGGCGCGGAAAGUUGGGUGUGAAAUCCCUCGGCUCAACCGAGGAACUGCGCCCAAAACUACCGUGCUCGAGGAAGAUAGAGGUGAGCGGAACUUACGGUGGAGCGGUGAAAUGCGUUGAUAUCGUAAGGAACACCCGUGGCGAAAGCGGCUCACUGGGUCUUCUCUGACGCUGAUGCACGAAAGCUAGGGGAGCAAACGGG
rnacentral:rRNA from 1 species